rnacentral:lncRNA from 1 species
UCUUAAGUAGUUUAGACACACGCCUUUGCUCAAGGAAAUUCACAGAAACCGCCACUGCUACACAUCUUAUGGAAUGACUCACGAGUUCUCCUUCACUGAUUAAUCCUUUUCCUCAUCCCUUCCUCCCCCUCCCAUCUGCCCUAAGAACAAAGAGCUUGUAAACCAGUAAAUUUGGCAGAGCUCAAGAGCUCUGGGCCGUGAGCAAGCCUCCGAUAUUCUGGUCCCCUGAACCCGCCUUUUAAAUGCUUAUUCUGUCUCUUUCUAACUCCUAUGUCUCCACCAGACUCAGGGUACCCACUGGGUGGUGUGGGGCUGGUUUCCCUAACAUUCCCCACCAAAUAAAGCAGCUCCAACCUUCUAGAUGGUUGCUCAGCUCAGAAGUCUUAGAGAAAUUCUGAUGCCUCUCCUCACAUUUGCUCUGUCGGCAAAUCCUGGUGUCACAAGAGGGCUCAGGAGGGUUUCUGGAUGCCAACGAGACCCCAGCCACAGCCGGUCCCCAGAUUCUUGACAUCAUCACAAGAAAGAAUUCACAGGCUCGACUCAAACUUCUGGGCUCAAGUGAUGCUCCUGCUUCAGCCUCCUGAGUAGCUGGGACUACAGGCUUGGUUGCCUGGCUUCCCUGCCCACAGCGUCCCAGAAGCAACAAUCUAGGAAAGGCUGUGAGUCCUGCGGGCUGUCAGAGACUGGCACAGUGGCACCCAGAUAUGACAGAAGACAAAAAUGCCUGAAGCAGAUGCAGCGCGUAUUACCCUGAAUCAAGAAAAGGUGAAUCUCCUUGAGGAUCUUCUGUUUAAGGAAGCAGGGAGAUGCGUAACAUGGUUUAGAAAGAUUUCCAUCCAAAAUGGAAAAAUAGAGAUACUUGUGAUGCUCAAGGAAUAAAUUUUAGUUUUCUGAAAAAGUCACCUAUGCAGAGUUCCUCAGGCCCCAAAGCUGCCAGAUAAAUCACAGUCAGGGCUGGAAGGGACUGUGUCUCCAUUUUACAGAGGAAACCAAAACUCAGAGAGGUUAAGCCACUUCCAUGAGCUCACACAAUAAGUGUCAAUGGGGGAUUUGAAUCCAUGCCUUUUUGAUUCCGGAUGUGGUAACAUGGAGAUGCGCCACCCAGAUCCCCCUUCAAGGAUGGUGAUAGUGUUUUUCCUGUUCAGUUUGACACUUCCAGACCGCCCUGUACAUAAAUCCCAAUAAAUGCUAUGCCUCCUUCACUGGCUCUGGGUCUCUUCUUUGGCCUUUCAGACAUGGUGCCAUCCCUGUUGGAGUCAACAGGAGUCUGGCACAACACAAACUCAGAACUCAGAG